rnacentral:rRNA from 1 species
AUUGAACGCUGGCGGCAGGCUUAACACAUGCAAGUCGAGCGGAGUGAUGGUGCUUGCUCCAUCACUUAGCGGCGAACGGGUGAGUAAUGCCUAGGAAUCUGCCCAUUAGCGGGGGACAACGUGUGGAAACGCACGCUAAUACCGCAUACGCCUUACGGGGGAAAGCAGGGGACUCGUUGAGCCUUGCACUAAUGGAUGAGCCUAGGUCAGAUGAGCUAGUUGGGGGGGUAAAGGCCUACCAAGGCGACGAUCUGUAGCGGGUCUGAGAGGAUGAUCCGCCACACUGGGAAUGAGACACGGUCCAGAAUCCUACGGGAGGGAGCAGUGGGGAAUAUUGGACAAUGGGCGCCAGCCUGAUUCCGCCAUGCCGCGUGUGUGAAGAAGGCCUUUUGGUUGUAAAGCACUUUAAGCGAGGAGGAGGCUUACCUGGUUAAUACCUGGGAUAAGUGGACGUUACUCGCAGAAUAAGCACCGGCUAACUCCGUG